rnacentral:rRNA from 1 species
UACAGAGGGGGCAAGCGUUAUUCGGAAUUAUUGGGCGUAAAGGGCGCGUAGGCGGCUUGGCAAGUGGAUGGUGAAAUCCCCGGGCUUAACCUGGGAAUGGCAUUUGGGACUGCAAGGCUGGAGUGUGGCAGAGGAGACUGGAAUUCCUGGUGUAGCAGUGAAAUGCGUAGAUAUCAGGAGGAAUACCGAUGGCGAAGGCAAGUCUCUGGGCUGACACUGACGCCCAUGCACGAAAGCGUGGGGAGCAAACAGG